rnacentral:rRNA from 1 species
GUCCCGCACGAGCGCACCCUCAUCCUUAGUUGCCAUCAUUUAGUUGGGCACUUUAAGGAAACUGCCGGUGAUAAGCCGGAGGAAGGUGGGGAUGACGUCAAGUCCUCAUGGCCCUUACAGGCUGGGCUACACACGUGCUACAAUGGCGGUGACAGUGAGCAGCUAACUCGCAAGAGCAAGCUAAUCUCUAAAAACCGUCUCAGUUCGGAUUGUUCUCUGCAACUCGAGAGCAUGAAGGCGGAAUCGCUAGUAAUCGCGGAUCAGCAUGCCGCGGUGAAUACGUUCCCAGGCCUU